rnacentral:rRNA from 1 species
AACGAACGCUGGCGGCAGGCCUAACACAUGCAAGUCGAGCGAGGACUUCGAUCCUAGCGGCGGACGGGUGAGUAACGCGUGGGAACGUGCCCUUUGCUUCGGAAUAGCUCUGGGAAACUGGGAGUAAUACCGGAUGAGCCCUUUGGGGGAAAGAUUUAUCGGCGCAGGAUCGGCCCGCGUUGGAUUAGGUAGUUGGUAGGGUAAUGGCCUACCAAGCCGACGAUGCAUUGCUGGUUUGAGAGGAUGAUCAGCGACACUGCAACUGAGACACGGCCCAGACUCCGACGGGAGGCAGAGGUAGGGAAUCUUCCGCAAUUGGCGAAAGCCUGACGGAGCAACGCCGCGUGAGUGAUGAAGGUCUUCGGAUCGUAAAACUCUGUUAUGAGGGAAGAACAUAUGUGUAAGUAACUGUGCACAUCUGGACGGUACCUAAUCAGAAAGCCACGGCUAACUACGUG